AGGGUUGUGGCUCAGUGGUAGAGUGGUCGCCUAGUAUGUGUGAGGCCCUGGGUUCGAUCCUCAGCACCUCAU
rfam:Ictidomys tridecemlineatus contig029036, whole genome shotgun sequence.